rnacentral:rRNA from 1 species
GAUGAACGCUAGGCGGGGAGGCUUAAUACAUGCAAGUCGAGGGGUAGAUAGUCUUCGGAUUAUCGAGACCGGCGCACGGGUGCAUAACGCGUACACAACAUGCCUUAUACUGGGGGUAUAGCUUCGGGAAACUGAUGGUAACUCCCCCAUGACAUUGCGGAAUCGCAUGGUUCUGCAAUUAAAGUUCAGGCGGUAUAAGAUUGGUGUGCGUUUGAUUAGGUAGUUGGUAGGGUAACGGCCUACCAAGCCGACGAUCAAUAGCUGGCGUGAGAGCGCGACCAGCCACACUGGAACUGAGACACGGUCCAGACUCCUACGGGAGGCAGCAGUUUGGAAUUUUGGACAAUGGGCGAAAGCCUGAUCCAGCGACGCCGCGUGGACGAUGAAGGCCUUCGGGUUGU